AACUAACGCUAUUAUUGAUACAGUUUCUGUACUAUAUUGGUAUGCGAAGCUUCCGGACACGUCCUAACGGUUGUGUUUUGGAAAAAUAUGGAAGGAGGAUCUUCGGAUCC
rnacentral:misc_RNA from 1 species